ACAUCUCAACUCCUCACGGUUUGCCCGUGAUGAGCUUGGACUUUGGGGGUCUUGCUGGCCUGCAGGUCGGCUCCUCUCAAAUGAAUCAGCUUGCCGGUGUUUGGCGGCGUCACAGGUGUGAUAACUAUCUACGCUUGUGGUUUUCUGCCAGGUAACCUCCAGCGAUGGGGGUUCGCUGGAGCUCACAAAUGUCUCUCCUCGGCGAGGACAGGUCUUUGAAC
rnacentral:misc_RNA from 1 species